rnacentral:lncRNA from 1 species
CAAAGAACUCCAUAAUGACUCAGCUAUUCUCAAUCAGGCUGUGUUAAAACCACUCAGGUUGAGCAUGGGGAAGCUCAGCCGGUACAAGUGGUAGUCAGUGUUCCCCUGACAGUAUAAUUUUUAUGGUGUUUGUUUUAUCAAACAUAAAUGUGCAACUUGACUGCCACAAACUUCCAGAAAGAAAAAAAACACAAAGAUAUCAUCGCAGAACAUAAAAUAAGGUCUAUAUUCAGCUUCUCUGGAGAAGAGCAGAAAAAUCUACUGCUGUGAAGCAUGUCUUCUUAUGAAAAGAGUUCAGGUAAGUAACAUAUUCAUCACUCGGCUUUAGUGUCCAAAAAAGCAAUGAUCAUUUCUUUCUUAUCCCACCACUGGCCUGGAAUUUAUUAUGUACUAAAUACAUCUUUAUGGAAUAAAGAAGGAUAUUUUAUAGUUAAAAUAUUUAGGAAACAGUGGUUCCUAAAUUGGCAUACUUCUUUGAGUGUUUAAUAUGCUCAACCUCUAUUAAAG